rnacentral:rRNA from 1 species
UACGUAGGUGACCAGCGUUGUCCGGAUUUACUGGGCGUAAAGAGCGCGCAGGCGGUCGUUCAAGUCGAGUGUGAAAGCCCCCGGCUCAACUGGGGAGGGUCACUCGAUACUGAUCGACUCGAAGGCAGGAGAGGGAAGCGGAAUUCCCGGUGUAGUGGUGAAAUGCGUAGAUAUCGGGAGGAACACCAGUGGCGAAGGCGGCUUCCUGGCCUGUUCUUGGCGCUGAGGCGCGAAAGCUAGGGGAGCAAACGGG